CCUACGGGAGGCAGCAGUGAGGAAUAUUGGUCAAUGGACGGAAGUCUGAACCAGCCAUGCCGCGUGCAGGAAGACGGCUCUAUGAGUUGUAAGCUGCUUUUGUACAAGAGUAAACCUGAAUACGUGUAUUCAGCUGAAAGUACUUUACGACUAAGGAUCAGCUAACUCCGUGCCAGCGGCCGCGGUAAUACGGAGGAUGCACGCGUUAUCCGGAUUUAUUGGGUUUAAAGGGAGCGUAGGCGGAUUGGUAAGUUAGAGGUGAAAGGCCCGAGCUUAACUCGGGAACUGCCUCUAAUACUUUUGAUCUAGAGAGUAGAUGCGGUAGGCGGAAUGUAUGGUGUAGCGGUGAAAUGCUUAGAGAUCAUACAGAACACCGAUUGCGAAGGCAGCUUACCAAUCUAUAUCUGACGUUGAGGCACGAAAGCGUGGGGAGCAAACAGGAUUAGAUACCCUUGUAGUC
rnacentral:rRNA from 1 species